GACGAACGCUGGCGGCGUGCCUAAUACAUGCAAGUCGAACGCAGUGGGGACGGGUGAGUAACACGUGGGUAACCUCCCAUCAGAGGGGAUAACACUUGGAAACAGGUGCUAAACCGAUACUGCUGGAUGAACCCGCGGUGCAUUAGCUAGUUGGUGAGGUAACGGCUCACCAAGGCCACGAUGCAUAGCCGACCUGAGGGGGUGCUAGGCCAAACGGGAACUGAGACAGGGCCCAGAUCCCACGGGUAGGCAGCAGUGGGAAAUUUGCGGCAAUGGACGAAAGUCUGACCGGGCAACGCCGCGGUAGUGAAAAAGGUUUUGGGUUGGAAAAACUCUGUUGUUGGAGAAGGGGAAUCGAACCAGAAGCCACGGCUAACUACGUGCCAGCCGCCGCGGUAAUUC
rnacentral:rRNA from 1 species